UAGGGAAUCUUCCACAAUGGGCGAAAGCCUGAUGGAGCAACGCCGCGUGUGUGAUGAAGGCUUUCGGGUCGUAAAGCACUGUUGUAUGGGAAGAACAGCUAGAAUAGGAAAUGAUUUUAGUUUGACGGUACCAUACCAGAAAGGGACGGCUAACUACGUGCCAA
rnacentral:rRNA from 1 species